CAUAGGUUAAUGAGGCGAACCGGGGGAACUGAAACAUCUAAGUACCCCGAGGAAAAGAAAUCAACCGAGAUUCCCCCAGUAGCGGCGAGCGAACGGGGAGCAGCCCAGAGCCUGAAUCAGUGUGUGUGUUAGUGGAAGCGUCUGGAAAGGCGCGCGAUACAGGGUGACAGCCCCGUACACAAAAAUGCACAUGCUGUGAGCUCGAUGAGUAGGGCGGGACACGUGGUAUCCUGUCUGAAUAUGGGGGGACCAUCCUCCAAGGCUAAAUACUCCUGACUGACCGAUAGUGAACCAGUACCGUGAGGGAAAGGCGAAAAGAACCCCGGCGAGGGGAGUGAAAAAGAACCUGAAACCGUGUACGUACAAGCAGUGGGAGCACGCUUAGGCGUGUGACUGCGUACCUUUUGUAUAAUGGGUCAGCGACUUAUAUUCUGUAGCAAGGUUAACCGAAUAGGGGAGCCGAAGGGAAACCGAGUCUUAACUGGGCGUUAAGUUGCAGGGUAUAGACCCGAAACCCGGUGAUCUAGCCAUGGGCAGGUUGAAGGUUGGGUAACACUAACUGGAGGACCGAACCGACUAAUGUUGAAAAAUUAGCGGAUGACUUGUGGCUGGGGGUGAAAGGCCAAUCAAACCGGGAGAUAGCUGGUUCUCCCCGAAAGCUAUUUAGGUAGCGCCUCGUGAAUUCAUCUCCGGGGGUAGAGCACUGUUUCGGCAAGGGGGUCAUCCCGACUUACCAACCCGAUGCAAACUGCGAAUACCGGAGAAUGUUAUCACGGGAGACACACGGCGGGUGCUAACGUCCGUCGUGAAGAGGGAAACAACCCAGACCGCCAGCUAAGGUCCCAAAGUCAUGGUUAAGUGGGAAACGAUGUGGGAAGGCCCAGACAGCCAGGAUGUUGGCUUAGAAGCAGCCAUCAUUUAAAGAAAGCGUAAUAGCUCACUGGUCGAGUCGGCCUGCGCGGAAGAUGUAACGGGGCUAAACCAUGCACCGAAGCUGCGGCAGCGACGCUUAUGCGUUGUUGGGUAGGGGAGCGUUCUGUAAGCCUGUGAAGGUGUGCUGUGAGGCAUGCUGGAGGUAUCAGAAGUGCGAAUGCUGACAUAAGUAACGAUAAAGCGGGUGAAAAGCCCGCUCGCCGGAAGACCAAGGGUUCCUGUCCAACGUUAAUCGGGGCAGGGUGAGUCGACCCCUAAGGCGAGGCCGAAAGGCGUAGUCGAUGGGAAACAGGUUAAUAUUCCUGUACUUGGUGUUACUGCGAAGGGGGGACGGAGAAGGCUAUGUUGACCGGGCGACGGUUGUCCCGGUUUAAGCGUGUAGGCUGGUUUUCCAGGCAAAUCCGGAAAAUCAAGGCUGAGGCGUGAUGACGAGGCACUACGGUGCUGAAGCAACAAAUGCCCUGCUUCCAGGAAAAGCCUCUAAGCAUCAGGUAACAUCAAAUCGUACCCCAAACCGACACAGGUGGUCAGGUAGAGAAUACCAAGGCGCUUGAGAGAACUCGGGUGAAGGAACUAGGCAAAAUGGUGCCGUAACUUCGGGAGAAGGCACGCUGAUAUGUAGGUGAAGUCCCUCGCGGAUGGAGCUGAAAUCAGUCGAAGAUACCAGCUGGCUGCAACUGUUUAUUAAAAACACAGCACUGUGCAAACACGAAAGUGGACGUAUACGGUGUGACGCCUGCCCGGUGCCGGAAGGUUAAUUGAUGGGGUCAGCGCAAGCGAAGCUCUUGAUCGAAGCCCCGGUAAACGGCGGCCGUAACUAUAACGGUCCUAAGGUAGCGAAAUUCCUUGUCGGGUAAGUUCCGACCUGCACGAAUGGCGUAAUGAUGGCCAGGCUGUCUCCACCCGAGACUCAGUGAAAUUGAACUCGCUGUGAAGAUGCAGUGUACCCGCGGCAAGACGGAAAGACCCCGUGAACCUUUACUAUAGCUUGACACUGAACAUUGAGCCUUGAUGUGUAGGAUAGGUGGGAGGCUUAGAAGUGUGGACGCCAGUCUGCAUGGAGCCGACCUUGAAAUACCACCCUUUAAUGUUUGAUGUUCUAACGUUGACCCGUAAUCCGGGUUGCGGACAGUGUCUGGUGGGUAGUUUGACUGGGGCGGUCUCCUCCUAAAGAGUAACGGAGGAGCACGAAGGUUGGCUAAUCCUGGUCGGACAUCAGGAGGUUAGUGCAAUGGCAUAAGCCAGCUUGACUGCGAGCGUGACGGCGCGAGCAGGUGCGAAAGCAGGUCAUAGUGAUCCGGUGGUUCUGAAUGGAAGGGCCAUCGCUCAACGGAUAAAAGGUACUCCGGGGAUAACAGGCUGAUACCGCCCAAGAGUUCAUAUCGACGGCGGUGUUUGGCACCUCGAUGUCGGCUCAUCACAUCCUGGGGCUGAAGUAGGUCCCAAGGGUAUGGCUGUUCGCCAUUUAAAGUGGUACGCGAGCUGGGUUUAGAACGUCGUGAGACAGUUCGGUCCCUAUCUGCCGUGGGCGCUGGAGAACUGAGGGGGGCUGCUCCUAGUACGAGAGGACCGGAGUGGACGCAUCACUGGUGUUCGGGUUGUCAUGCCAAUGGCACUGCCCGGUAGCUAAAUGCGGAAGAGAUAAGUGCUGAAAGCAUCUAAGCACGAAACUUGCCCCGAGAUG
rnacentral:rRNA from 1 species